rnacentral:rRNA from 1 species
GAUGAACGCUGGCGGCGUGCUUAACACAUGCCAGUCGAACGAUGAAGCCCAGCUUGCUGGGUGGAUUAGUGGCGAACGGGUGAGUAACACGUGAGUAACCUGCCCUUGACUCUGGGAUAAGCCUGGGAAACUGGGUCUAAUACUGGAUAUGACUUCUCAUCGCAUGGUGGGGGGUGGAAAGAUUUAUUGGUCUUGGAUGGACUCGCGGCCUAUCAGCUUGUUGGUGAGGUAAUGGCUCACCAAGGCGACGACGGGUAGCCGGCCUGAGAGGGUGACCGGCCACACUGGGACUGAGACACGGCCCAGACUCCUACGGGAGGCAGCAGUGGGGAAUAUUGCACAAUGGGCGCAAGCCUGAUGCAGCGACGCCGCGUGAGGGAUGACGGCCUUCGGGUUGUAAACCCCUUUCAGUAGGGAAGAAGCGAGAGUGACGGUACCUGCAGAAGAAGCGCCGGCUAACUACGUG